GAGGGGCAGCAGGGGUAGCAAUAUUCGCUGGCGACCGGCGCACGGGUGCGUAACACGUAUACAAUCUGCCUUUAACAGGGGGAUAGCCCGGAGAAAUCCGGAUUAAUACCCCAUAACACACUUGGAGGCAUCUUCAGGGGUUAAAAGUUCCGACGGUUAAAGAUAAGUAUGCGUCUGAUUAGCUAGUUGGUGAGGUAACGGCUCACCAAGGCGACGAUCAGUAGGGGAUCUGAGAGGAUUAACCCCCACACGGAUACUGAGACACGGAUCCGACUCCUACGGGAGGCAGCAGUAAGGAAUAUUGGACAAUGCCCGCAAGGGUGAUCCAGCCAUGCCGCGUGCAGGAAGACGGCCCUAUGGGUUGUAAACUGCUUUUACACCGGAGAAAACCCCCCUACGUGUAGGGGGCUGAUAGUAUGGUGAGAAUAAGCAUCGGCUAACUUCGUG
rnacentral:rRNA from 1 species